rnacentral:rRNA from 1 species
CAGAAAGAUACUUGAGAUCAGAUCAGGUUUUUUGCUUCACGCCAUAUCAAGUGCCGACGCAAAAGGCGGACUGAGUAUUGAAUGUUGAAUGUCGGAUAGCGGCGGACGGGUGAGUAACGCGUGGGCAACCUGCCUUUCACAGGGGGAUAACACAGGGAAACUUGUGCUAAUACCGCAUAACAUCAUGUGGGGCAUCUCAUGUGAUCAAAGGAGCAAUCCGGUGAAAGAUGGGCCCGCGUCCAAUUAGCUAGUUGGUGAGGUAAUGGCUCACCAAGGCGACGAUUGGUAGCCGAACUGAGAGGUUGAUCGGCCACAUUGGGACUGAGACACGGCCCAGACUCCUACGGGAGGCAGCAGUGGGAAUAUUGCGCAAUGGGGGAACCCUGACGCAGCAACGCCGCGUGAAGGAAGAAGGUCUUCGGAUUGUAAACUUCUUUGAUGAGGGACGAAGUAAGUGACGGUACCUCAAAAACAAGCCACGGCUAACUACGUG